rnacentral:tRNA from 1 species
AGAAAAUUAGUUAAAUCAUAACAUUAAAAUGUCAUAUUAAUAUUACUUUUAGUAUUUUCUAUA